AGCGAACGCUGGCAGCAGGCCUAACACAUGCAAGUCGAACGAAGUCUUCGGACUUAGUGGCGGACGGGUGAGUAACACGUGGGAACGUGCCUUUAGGUUCGGAAUAACUCAGGGAAACUUGUGCUAAUACCGAAUGUGCCCUUCGGGGGAAAGAUUUAUCGCCUUUAGAGCGGCCCGCGUCUGAUUAGCUAGUUGGUGAGGUAAAGGCUCACCAAGGCUACGAUCAGUAGCCGGUCUGAGAGGAUGACCAGCCACAUUGGGACUGAGACACGGCCCAAACUCCUACGGGAGGCAGCAGUGGGGAAUCUUGCGCAAUGGGCGAAAGCCUGACGCAGCCAUGCCGCGUGGAUGAUGAAGGUCUUAGGAUUGUAAAAUCCUUUCACCGGUGAAGAUAAUGACUGUAGCCGGAGAAGAAGCCCCGGCUAACUUCGUGUCAGCCGCCGCGGUAAUAC
rnacentral:rRNA from 1 species